rnacentral:rRNA from 1 species
CAGCCUACCAGGCCGUUAAUGACGCUCAUGCACGAAAGUGCGGGGAUCGAACAGGAUUAGAUACCCUGGUAGUCCGCACAGUAAACGAUGAAUACUUGCUUUCGGCGAUACAUUGUCGGAGGCAAAGCGAAAGCGAUAAGUAUUCCACCUGGGGAGUACGCCGGCAACGGUGAAACUCAAAGGAAUUGACGGGGGCCCGCACAAGCGGAGGAACAUGUGGUUUAAUUCGAUGCUACGCGAGGAACCUUACCCGGGCUUGAAAGUUAGCGACGGAAGCUGAAAGGCUUCUUCCCUUCGGGGCGCGAAACUAGGUGCUGCAUGGUUGUCGUCAGUUCGUGCCGUGAGGUGUCGGCUUAAGUGCCAUAACGAGCGCAACCCUUUUCUCCAGUUACCAUCAUUCGGUUGGGGACUCUGGAGACACUGCCAUCGCAAGAUGUGAGGAAGGAUGGGAUGACGUCAAAUCAGCACGGCCCUUACGUCCGGGGCGACACACGUGUUACAAUGGGAGGGACAGAAAGCUGCGACUCGGUGACGAGGAGCCAAUCUCCAAACCUUCUCCCAGUUCGGAUCGGAGUCUGCAACCCGACUCCGUGAAGCUGGA